CCUUCUUUCUGACCUCCAAAGGCAUAAAUAAAGGGCAAAUCAGGACAACAGGAAGAACAGAAGAGAACUCCCUGGGAAGAAGAAAACAGUACCAAUGACAGCUUGUCAGCAAAUAACCUCAGGAAAUGCGUGCUGGAGUGUCGAGAGCCAAAGUAUAACACGAUAUUCAAAUACAACUAGGACCUCACUCCUCAGCUGGAGUCUGGCUUCAGGAUCCGGAAAUCAGAGUCUGUGCUUCAAAUGGAUGAAACUGCAGAGUCUGGACCUAAAUGGAGGAAACAUAAAUGAACAGAUACAUGUUUGUUUGGUUUUGGUAAAACUACUUAAUACUCAAGAGAAUCAAUUUGGCAACGUUUCUGUAUUUUUUUCCUUUGAAAUGUAGUACUAUUUAAAGAAACAAAUGGUCUACAUAGUCAAAAGGACACAACACAUUUUCAAAUAA